AACGUAUCACUUAAAGCGAUUCAGCGGGUUACGAUUGACGGAGCGAAGCGACGUCAAAGCGUAUACAAAGUCGAGUCGGUUUAAGGAUACGUUCGUUGGGUAGGGGAGCGUUCUGUAAGCCUGUGAAGGUGUGUCGUGAGGCAUGCUGGAGGUAUCAGAAGUGCGAAUGCUGACAUAAGUAACGAUAAAGCGGGUGAAAAGCCCGCUCGCCGGAAGACCAAGGGUUCCUGUCCAACGUUAAUCGGGGCAGGGUGAGUCGACCCCUAAGGCGAGGCCGAAAGGCGUAGUCGAUGGGAAACGGGUUAAUAUUCCCGUACUUGGUGUUACUGCGAAGGGGGGACGGAGAAGGCUAUGUUGGCCGGGCGACGGUUGUCCCGGUUUAAGCGUGUAGGCUGGUUUUCCAGGCAAAUCCGGAAAAUCAAGGCUGAGGCGUGAUGACGAGGUACUACGGUGCUGAAGCAACAAAUGCCCUGCUUCCAGGAAAAGCCUCUAAGCAUCAGGUAACAUCAAAUCGUACCCCAAACCGACACAGGUGGUCAGGUAGAGAAUACCAAGGCGCUUGAGAGAACUCGGGUGAAGGAACUAGGCAAAAUGGUGCCGUAACUUCGGGAGAAGGCACGCUGACACGUAGGUGAAGUGAUUUACUCAUGGAGCUGAAGUCAGUCGAAGAUACCAGCUGGCUGCAACUGUUUAUUAAAAACACAGCACUGUGCAAACACGAAAGUGGACGUAUACGGUGUGACGCCUGCCCGGUGCCGGAAGGUUAAUUGAUGGGGUCAGCGCAAGCGAAGCUCCUGAUCGAAGCCCCGGUAAACGGCGGCCGUAACUAUAACGGUCCUAAGGUAGCGAAAUUCCUUGUCGGGUAAGUUCCGACCUGCACGAAUGGCGUAAUGAUGGCCAGGCUGUCUCCACCCGAGACUCAGUGAAAUUGAACUCGCUGUGAAGAUGCAGUGUACCCGCGGCAAGACGGAAAGACCCCGUGAACCUUUACUAUAGCUUGACACUGAACAUUGAGCCUUGAUGUGUAGGAUAGGUGGGAGGCUUUGAAGUGUGGACGCCAGUCUGCAUGGAGCCGACCUUGAAAUACCACCCUUUAAUGUUUGAUGUUCUAACGUGGACCCGUAAUCCGGGUUGCGGACAGUGUCUGGUGGGUAGUUUGACUGGGGCGGUCUCCUCCUAAAGAGUAACGGAGGAGCACGAAGGUUGGCUAAUCCUGGUCGGACAUCAGGAGGUUAGUGCAAUGGCAUAAGCCAGCUUGACUGCGAGCGUGACGGCGCGAGCAGGUGCGAAAGCAGGUCAUAGUGAUCCGGUGGUUCUGAAUGGAAGGGCCAUCGCUCAACGGAUAAAAGGUACUCCGGGGAUAACAGGCUGAUACCGCCCAAGAGUUCAUAUCGACGGCGGUGUUUGGCACCUCGAUGUCGGCUCAUCACAUCCUGGGGCUGAAGUAGGUCCCAAGGGUAUGGCUGUUCGCCAUUUAAAGUGGUACGCGAGCUGGGUUUAGAACGUCGUGAGACAGUUCGGUCCCUAUCUGCCGUGGGCGCUGGAGAACUGAGGGGGGCUGCUCCUAGUACGAGAGGACCGGAGUGGACGCAUCACUGGUGUUCGGGUUGUCAUGCCAAUGGCACUGCCCGGUAGCUAAAUGCGGAAGAGAUAAGUGCUGAAAGCAUCUAAGCACGAAACUUGCCCCGA
rnacentral:rRNA from 1 species